rnacentral:rRNA from 1 species
UACGUAGGGCGCAAGCGUUAUCCGGAAUUAUUGGGCGUAAAAGAGCUCGUAGGCGGUUUUGUCGCGUCUGCUGUGAAAGCCCUGGGCUCAACCUGGGAAUUGCAGUGGAUACUGGGGCGACUAGAGUGUGGUAGAGGAUAGUGGAAUUUCCGGUGUAGCAGUGAAAUGCGUAGAGAAUCGGAAGGAACAUCUGUGGCGAAAGGCGACUAUCUGGGCCAACACUGACACUGAGGCACGAAAGCCGUGGGGGAGCAAAACAGGG